AUUGAACGCUGGCGGCAGGCCCAACACAUGCAAGUCGACCGAGUGGCGGACGGGUGAGUAAUGUCUGGGAAACUGCCUGAUGGAGGGGGAUAACUACUGGAAACGGUAGCUAAUACCGCAUACCAUCAGAUGUGCCCAGAUGGGAUUAGCUUGUUGGCGGGGUAACGGCUCACCAAGGCGACGAUCCCGAGCUGGUCUGAGAGGAUGACCAGCCACACUGGAACGUAGACACGGUCCAGACGCCUACGUGAGGGAGGAGUGGGGUAUAUGUCACAGUAGGCGCAAGCCUAAUGCAGCCAUGCCGCGAGGAUGAAGAAGGCCAUCGAGUUGUAAAGUACUUUCAGCGGUGUGACGUUACCCGCAGAAGAAGAACCGGCUAACUCCGUGCGAGCAGCCGCGGUAAUAC
rnacentral:rRNA from 1 species